rnacentral:rRNA from 1 species
GAUGAACGCUGGCGGCGUGCCUAAUACAUGCAAGUCGAGCGAACAGACGAGGAGCUUGCUCCUCUGACGUUAGCGGCGGACGGGUGAGUAACACAUGGAUAACCUACCUAUAAGACUGGGAUAACUUCGGGAAACCGGAGCUAAUACCGGAUAAUAUAUUGAACCGCAUGGUUCAAUAGUGAAAGACGGUUUUGCUGUCACUUAUAGAUGGAUCCGCGCCGCAUUAGCUAGUUGGUAAGGUAACGGCUUACCAAGGCGACGAUGCGUAGCCGACCUGAGAGGGUGAUCGGCCACACUGGAACUGAGACACGGUCCAGACUCCUACGGGAGGCAGCAGUAGGGAAUCUUCCGCAGUGGGCGAAAGCCUGACGGAGCAACGCCGCGUGAGUGAUGAAGGUCUUCGGAUCGUAAAACUCUGUUAUUAGGGAAGAACAAAUGUGUAAGUAACUAUGCACGUCUUGACGGUACCUAAUCAGAAAGCCACGGCUAACUACGU